rnacentral:rRNA from 1 species
AGUGCGAAAAAAGCAUGCUGAUCCUCUUCGGAGGUGACGCUUGUGGAACGAGCGGCGGACGGGUGAGUAACACGUGGGCAACCUGCCUGUAAGACUGGGAUAACCCCGGGAAACCGGGGCUAAUACCGGAUAAUACUUUUCAUCACCUGAUGAAAAGUUGAAAGGUGGCUUUUAGCUACCACUUACAGAUGGGCCCGCGGCGCAUUAGCUAGUUGGUGAGGUAACGGCUCACCAAGGCAACGAUGCGUAGCCGACCUGAGAGGGUGAUCGGCCACACUGGGACUGAGACACGGCCCAGACUCCUACGGGAGGCAGCAGUAGGGAAUCUUCCGCAAUGGACGAAAGUCUGACGGAGCAACGCCGCGUGAGUGAUGAAGGUUUUCGGAUCGUAAAGCUCUGUUGUUAGGGAAGAACAAGUGCCGUUCGAAUAGGGCGGCACCUUGACGGUACCUAACCAGAAAGCCCCGGCUAACUACGUGCCAGCAGCCGCGGUAAUACGUAGGGGGCAAGCGUUGUCCGGAAUUAUUGGGCGUAAAGCGCGCGCAGGCGGUCCUUUAAGUCUGAUGUGAAAGCCCACGGCUCAACCGUGGAGGGUCAUUGGAAACUGGAGGACUUGAGUACAGAAGAGGAGAGUGGAAUUCCACGUGUAGCGGUGAAAUGCGUAGAGAUGUGGAGGAACACCAGUGGCGAAGGCGACUCUCUGGUCUGUAACUGACGCUGAGGCGCGAAAGCGUGGGGAGCGAACAGGAUUAGAUACCCUGGUAGUCCACGCCGUAAACGAUGAGUGCUAGGUGUU